GGCCGAUGACGAGGCGACCGGGCCGAGCCGGGGUGGCACCCGCGCGACGACGAGCCCUAUGAGUGCCGAGGCC
rnacentral:snoRNA from 1 species